rnacentral:tRNA from 1 species
UCCUGUGUAGCUUAGUCGGUAGAGCAUCUGCCUGCAAUGCAGGACACCUGGGUUCAAUUUCUGGGUCGGGAA